GGGCUCGUGGGCUAACCUGGUAUGCUCCCGGCUUCGGGAGCCGGUGAUCUGAGUUCAAAUCUCAGCGAGCCCA
rnacentral:tRNA from 1 species